rnacentral:rRNA from 1 species
UACGUAGGGGGCAAGCGUUGUCCGGAUUUAUUGGGCGUAAAGAGCGUGUAGGCGGCCAGGUAGGUCCGUUGUGAAAACUCGAGGCUCAACCUCGAGACGCCGAUGGAAACCAUCUGGCUAGAGUCCGGAAGAGGAGAGUGGAAUUCCCGGUGUAGCGGUGAAAUGCGCAGAUAUCGGGAAGAACACCCGUGGCUAAGGCGGCUCUCUAGUACGGUACUGACGCUGAGGAGCGAAAGUGUGGGGAGCGAACAGG